CCUACGGGGGGCAGCAGUGGGGGAUAUUGCACAAUGGGGGAAACCCUGAUGCAGCGACGCCGCGUGAGUGAAGAAGUAAUUCGUUACGUAAAGCUCUAUCAGCAGGGAAGAAAAUGACGGUACCUGACUAAGAAGCCCCGGCUAACUACGUGCCAGCAGCCGCGGUAAUACGUAGGGGGCAAGCGUUAUCCGGAAUUACUGGGUGUAAAGGGAGCGCAGACGGCAGUGCAAGUCUGGAGUGAAAGCCCGUGGCUUAACCACGGGACUGCUCUGGAAACUGUGCAGCUAGAGUGCAGGAGAGGCAG
rnacentral:rRNA from 1 species